rnacentral:rRNA from 1 species
AUGGAUGGCAGUGUCAUCUACAAGCUUAGCUGCAUCCUUUGCAGCUUAUUCAGCAUCGGCAGCAAGAACUGGUGGCGUCGGCAGAGUAGGGGCCACAGGUGGAAUCGGACACGGCGGACAAUGGACCUCGCCAGAAAGAACGUCACAAAGACGAAUGCCACGCAUAUGAAUGCGCAUGAAGCCAACAAACUCUAUACAUUUUUUUUGACAAUCACCGGGAAGACAACAGUACAGACAGAGGGUCCUGAUGACCAGCCGCAGUCAGCGCUCGCGGCGGCAGUAGAUGGAUGGGACUGGAGCCAUCAGCAGGGGCGAAAUCCAGCGAGGGACGGUCGGAUCGGACGCAGGCGACGAAGACCGGCGACUAGCGGCCUGUUCCGAACUUCUCCCGAUCCACCGCCGCCGCCCUGCAUCCCACCGGCGCGCCGCCCUGCGUCCCGCAACCCGCCGCCGCGCCGUCCCCCGUCCCGCCAGCGCAACCAUGCCCCCAAGCUUUGCCUGCAUCCCGUGCUCAAGCCCGCCCGUGUACUCUGUUCGGGCAACGUGAAGUCGAGCGACGUGUACGCGAAGGUGCUGGUGUACCUGAGCGUGGUGUGCUCGCGGGAGGCGCGGGAGCUCCGCGCGGAGGGCGCUGCAGAGGGCCACGGCUUCGUGCUCAGCCUCCGGGAGGGGCAGUAG